rnacentral:rRNA from 1 species
UACGGGGGGGGCAAGCGUUGUUCGGAAUUACUGGGCGUAAAGGGCUCGUAGGUGGCCAACUAAGUCAGACGUGAAAUCCCUCAGCUUAACUGGGGAACUGCGUCUGAUACUGGAUGGCUUGAGUUUGGGAGAGGGAUGCGGAAUUCCAGGUGUAGCGGUGAAAUGACGUAGAUAUCUGGAGGAACACCGGUGGCGAAGGCGGCAUCCUGGACCAAUACUGACACUGAGGAGCGAAAGCCAGGGGAGCAAACGGG